AUGUCGAUGUUUUUACUCUCGAAAAAUGUGAUUGGGAAACUUGACAAGCACCGUAAGCGAUUCUUUUGGCAAGAGCAUGAAGGUCGGAAACGAUACCAUUUGGUGAAAUGGUCCAGAAUUUACCGCUCCAAGGAAAAAGGAGGCAUGAGGGUGAAAGACCUGCAUAAACAAAACAUUAGUCUCCUCACCAAGUGGUGGUGGAAGUUGGAAACACGGCAAGGGCUGUGGCAGGACAUAAUUCGAGCCAAAUACCUCAAAAAAGACACGAUUGUUUUGGUUAAAUCUAAAUUUGGUGAUUCUCCUAUUUGGAAGGCUAUUAUGAAAGUCAAAGAACACUACCUAGUGGGGAGAAAGGUAGUUCUAAAAUCUGGUAACCUUGCUAGAGUGUGGGAUGAUUAUAUCAAUAAUAAACCCCCUUUAUGUGAUCAAUUCCAUGCGCUAUACAACAUUUGCAAUGAUCAAGGGAUCACGGUUGCAAGCUUUAAAAACGGUGUGGAUGACAAUUUCUUUCGAAGGCGUCUCCACCCCCUCUGCUAG
rnacentral:rRNA from 1 species